rnacentral:rRNA from 1 species
AUUGAACGCUGGCGGCAGGCCUAACACAUGCAAGUCGAACGGUAGCACAGAGAGCUUGCUCUCGGGUGACGAGUGGCGGACGGGUGAGUAAUGUCUGGGAAACUGCCCGAUGGAGGGGGAUAACUACUGGAAACGGUAGCUAAUACCGCAUAAUGUCGCAAGACCAAAGAGGGGGACCUUCGGGCCUCUUGCCAUCGGACGUGCCCAGAUGGGAUUAGCUAGUUGGUGAGGUAAUGGCUCACCAAGGCGACGAUCCCUAGCUGGUCUGAGAGGAUGACCAGCCACACUGGAACUGAGACACGGUCCAGACUCCUACGGGAGGCAGCAGUGGGGAAUAUUGCACAAUGGGCGCAAGCCUGAUGCAGCCAUGCCGCGUGUGUGAAGAAGGCCUUCGGGUUGUAAAGCACUUUCAGCGGGGAGGAAGGCAAUACGGUUAAUAACCGUGUUGAUUGACGUUACCCGCAGAAGAAGCACCGGCUAACUCCGUG